rnacentral:rRNA from 1 species
GAUGAACGCUAGCGGCAGGCUUAACACAUGCAAGUCGAGGGGUAUAGGUUUUAGGACCUAGAGACCGGCGCACGGGUGCGUAACGCGUAUGCAAUCUACCUUUCACAGAGGGAUAGCCCAGAGGAAUUUGGAUUAAUACCUCAUAGUAUUAUAGAAUGGCAUCAUUUUAUAAUUAAAGUCACAACGGUGAAAGAUGAGCAUGCGUCCCAUUAGCUAGUUGGUAUGGUAACGGCAUACCAAGGCUACGAUGGGUAGGGGUCCUGAGAGGGAGAUCCCCCACACUGGUACUGAGACACGGACCAGACUCCUACGGGAGGCAGCAGUGAGGAAUAUUGGUCAAUGGGCGCAAGCCUGAACCAGCCAUGCCGCGUGCAGGAUGACGGUCCUAUGGAUUGUAAACUGCUUUUGUACGGGAAGAAACACUCCUACGUGUAGGAACUUGACGGUACCGUAAGAAUAAGGAUCGGCUAACUCCGUGCCAGCAGCCGCGGUAA